AACCCAGCUUGAGGGUCUCGUUGCUCGGUGUGAAAUCCGGGUCAUCUCUUCCCCCCGCCCUCCUGGAGCCGCGAGCUGCGGAGGCCGAGGCGGCGGUGGCGCUUCCCUACAAGCCCCUCCCUCAGGAGGAAAGCGGAGCCCUAUCACCUGGGUUUGCUGAUUAUUAAGGCUGUGUGCAACUUGAAAGGGAUGCCACAACUUGAAGCAGAGGUUCCCUCCGAAGUACUACAUCAGAAGGGCUAUACUGCUUCAGUCUCGCCAUUAUAAAGAGCUGCUGCUCGUACACAAAAGCCCUUCCUGCUAGAAUGAAGUUACUGGCUAAAUCAAGUUGACCCUCUCAGUGCUUCUAGUUGAUACAAGGUUCACACCCUUUAGCCUACAAACCUGUAUCUUGAUGGAAGAAGAUAAAGUUACGCUCUUGUUAAAAAGGCACCAGCAGGAAGACAACAAACCAGUUUAGUGAUGGUGUUUAGCAUCAGCACUUGACCAUCAGCACUUCCCCAUGAGGAGACAAGGAAGAACAACUCAGUUCUCAUUUUUGCCUCUAUCUCCCUCUUGGAGAUUCAUUGGAGAAUGUCAUCGUCCGUCCCCCUCAUAUGAAAUAUGAAAGCUGUAUUUUUGUACAGUAUUUCAGAAUAAUAUUGACUAUUCUUAGGGUAUAGGGAAAGAAAAGAACCACUGCUUCCAGGGCAACCUUCUGUUUCAUAUAAUCUCUUAUGUGAUGCUUGCGUUAUCAGUUUCUGCAGCUACGCUACAGACUUAUAGCAAAUUUGUCUUCAGCUUUAUUAUGAAAAAGAGAAAGGCAAUUGAAGAUAAACAUGCAAGGGAUGAGUAAUGUGGGAGAAUAAAUGAAUAAAUACCCUGAAACAAUAACCAAAACAAACGUUUCUCCAAAUGGCAAUAAAAGUGCAUUAAUUCACAGUUGCAAAUUGCUACUGCUUAGAGCAGAUGUACUUAAUUAUGGGUUCCUUCUUAAUUAUGAAUUCCUCAUCAAUUUGCAAUGCAAAGCUUACAGCCUCAAUAGAUAAAUAUUUCAUUUUAUUUAUUUGUUGCAACUAUUUAGUAGAGUGUUUAUCAAAAAGAAAAAAGAAAAAGCAAAGUACACACACACACACACACACACACACACACACACAUUAUAUAUAUAUGCCUUGAGAUGUAUCUAGAUGAAUGCAAAACUGAAAAGAAAAAAGUUUUAAUUAAUGCUAUUAGGAUGCUCACUAAAGUAUGCAGGUGAUAAUCCAUGCACUGACAAACCUAUCAACCUGAUUAUGAUACAUAAACAUAUGCUACUAUUGGGGAUCUGUGAGGGAAGGGUUAAAAUGAUUAAGGUGGUGACCACGCUCAAGGGAUCAAAGGCCCAGUGGGGUUUUAAAAUAAUGACCAGUGACCACAAGCCACAAUAAAUUAAACUAGAGACAACAAAGCACAAGUUAGCUAACCCUAAUUUAUAAUCUAUACUAGACUGUUCAUGAAUAUAUUGUAACAUCAUAGGUGGCAGUUAUACCAGUGAUAUUGUAUAUAAAAAUCUAAAGCCUGCAGAUAAACAGAGAUAGCAAGUAUUUAUUUAGAAAAUACUUCACAUACUGUAUGUAUAAUAUGUGUCUUAGAAAAUGUGUUUUUGGAAAUUAAAAGGGAAGCCAUA